rnacentral:misc_RNA from 1 species
UCCAUUCAUCCAGGUGUGGUUGCGGCCCCCGGGGGCUAUCUCCCGGGCGGUAGAGGUAAUGCUCUCACGCGCCACAUUUCUGAACCCUUUUUUUACGAGCACCUUUCGUUCUCCUUCGGUGGGGCAACCUGCCGUUGGAACUCAUCAAAACCUUUUUUUGCAUCUAGCAUUACCUGUUCCGAUAUAUACAAUCGUUA